UGCCACAGCCAUAUCACUCUGAAGCCCAAGACUAUUCUACACAAAACUAUAUGGUUAUUUACUGAAACUAAGCAGGGCUGAGCCUGGUCAGUACCUGGAUUGGAGACCACACGGGAAAACUAAGCUGGUGUUGAUA
rnacentral:rRNA from 1 species